UGCCAGCAGCCGCGGUAAGACGUAGGAGGCAAGCGUUAUCCGGAUUUACUGGGCGUAAAGGGCGCGCAGGCGGUGUCGUAAGUUGGACGUGAAAUCUUUCGGCUUAACCGGGAGGCGCCGUUCAAUACUGCGGCACUUGAGGGCAGGAGAGGGGAGUGGAAUUCCCGGUGUAGUGGUAAAAUGCGUAGAUAUCGGGAGGAACACCAGUGGCGAAGGCGGCUCCCUGGCCUGUUCCUGACGCUGAGGCGCGAAAGCGUGGGGAGCGAACGGGAUUAGAUA
rnacentral:rRNA from 1 species